CGGCGAGUGAAGCGGCAAAAGCUCAAAUUUGAAAUCUGGCUCUUUCAGAGUCCGAGUUGUAAUUUGAAGAAGGUAUCUUUGGGUCUGGCUCUUGUCUAUGUUUCUUGGAACAGAACGUCACAGAGGGUGAGAAUCCCGUGCGAUGAGAUGAUCCAGGCCUAUGUAAAGUUCCUUCGAAGAGUCGAGUUGUUUGGGAAUGCAGUCUAAGUGGGUGGUAAAUUCCAUCUAAAGCUAAAUAUUGGCGAGAGACCGAUAGCGAACAAGUACAGUGCUGGAAAGAUGAAAAGAACUUUGAAAAGAGAGUGAAAAAGUACGUGAAAUUGUUGAAAGGGAAGGGCUUGAGAUCAGACUUGGUAUUUUGUAUGUUACUUCUUCGGGGGUGGCCUCUACAGUUUAUCGGGCCAGCAUCAGUUUGGGCGGUAGGAGAAUUGCGUUCGAAUGUGGCACGGCUUCGGUUGUGUGUUAUAGCCUUCGUCGAUACUGCCAGCCUAGACUGAGGACUGCGGUUUAUACCUAGGAUGUUGGCAUAAUGAUCUUAAGUCGCCCGUCUUGACCC
rnacentral:rRNA from 1 species